UACGUAGGAUGCAAGCGUUGUCCGGAAUUAUUGGGCGUAAAGAGUUCGUAGGUGGUUAUCUAAGUCUGGUGUUAAAGCCCGGAGCUCAACUCCGGCAUGGCAUUGGAAACUGGAUGGCUAGAGUGUGGAAGAGGUAACUGGAAUUCCUGGUGUAGCGGUGAAAUGCGCAGAUAUCAGGAGGAACACCCGUGGCGAAAGCGAGUUACUGGUCCAUUACUGACACUGAGGAACGAAAGCCAGGGUAGCAAAAGGG
rnacentral:rRNA from 2 species